rnacentral:rRNA from 1 species
CAGCAGCCACGGUAAUACGGAGGGUGCAAGCGUUAAUCGGAAUUACUGGGCGUAAAGCGCACGCAGGCGGUCUGACAAGUCAGAUGUGAAAUCCCCGGGCUUAACCUGGGAACUGCAUUUGAAACUGGCAAGCUAGAGUCUCGUAGAGGGGGGUAGAAUUCCAGGUGUAGCGGUGAAAUGCGUAGAGAUCUGGAGGAAUACCGGUGGCGAAGGCGGCCCCCUGGACGAAGACUGACGCUCAGGUGCGAAAGCGUGGGGAGCAAACAGGAUUAGAUACCCGUGUAGUCCCUGUCUCUUAACA